GAUGGAGUCUAAAUAGUCCAACGUCUGCCUCUGGAUUUGGAUGGCAUUAUGUAACGUUAUGGCAUGAAGCGCAUACAUUGCCACUUCCUUCUGCACUGCCUGAAUGCAUAAGACAGAUUUUAACUAUUUGAAGAAAUUGAGCGUUGUUAGAGAAAGCUGUCUUGAUUUCAUUGGAAGACUGUGGCAAUUCCUUCUCUGCCUCAGUCACUGAAGUAAGAACCUCAGGCUGCCUGAAUGAAGUUUUCCUUAUAAGAGUACUCCAGUGCUAAUGAUGACAACAGUGAAGGAACCAGCAAUUCAAUACUGGAGGGUGCUGCGGAGGGAACAUUGACAUAAGGGCAGGCAGCACUCAGCUCCCAGACCUGCACUGUGAUCCAUCUGUCCUGCAGAGAACUGGCUCUGCUUCUUACAAGUGCCACAUAACACCUGGAGGGCUAUGGUGGCAUUCACUCAAACCCCAUCUGGUCAAGGAAGAAACGGCAUAUUCUCCUUAAUGCUGCUCUCUCCACACCUUUAUGUCAGACCACUUCUGUGCCAGGGUCUGCCAGCUCAGUACUCAUUAUCCACAUAAGGGAGAGUAGAGCAGGGCCCAAACAGGAGAGGCUCUGGAUGUGACCAUCAUGCAGAUCGUUUCAUGGUGACCCAGCGGGAGAACCAAGGCCAGACUCAGAGGUUAGCAGUUCAUAACGGGUAAAGAGAAGUUUAAAUUUCUGAAUUAUAAAGUUGUAAAAAAGAUUCAAAGGGAAGUAAGGGCAUCCUCAGCCCACUCUUUGAUAGUACAAUACAUAAAAACCAGAUUUUGUAGGAGUAUAAUAAAAGAUUGUAUAGGAGUAUAAUAAAACCCAGACACAAGUCUGAAAAAUUCAUUAGUUUCUGCCAUGACUAAAAUAAGCACUGUCUAUGAAAACUACUUUGCAAUGGUAAUGAAAAGCAAGUGGAAAAGCAAGUGUUAGCACCAGUGCUGUGACGUGAAAUAAUUUCUGUAUACUCAGAUCUGUCAUUGUGAACAAUGUUGUUGAUUAUAAACUACAUCAAAUUCUCAGUCUCCCCCAAAACAUGUAUUUUAUUUUGCAGUUUUUGUGGUAAUUACGAAAUCAACAGAAUACUAUCUAGUUUUACCACAAUUAAGCUAAAUACAUACUUUUUAGAUGAUGUAAAAAAUACUUGUUAAUGGUAAUGUCUCCAUAACAGUAACUUCCACCCUAGAACAAGCGACAAUGUUUCUUAUGCGUUUUUAGGGGUGGCAUUUAAUGAUAAUGGUGAUUUUCAGCUUUCCCAAGAGUUUUACAAUUUAGCAGGUACUUGGAUGCAAUUUAUAAUCAAGAUUUGACCUGCAGAGCUUCAUUUAUUGUUACUCGAUAAGAGAAGCCUCCAAGAUUUGAAUGAAUCUCGUGGCCUUUUCAGCGUGCAUGAGUAUGAUGGAAGGGACGAUGACACAGACUUAUGGCACUGCAAGCAGCUCUCUGAAAACAGAAAAACAAAAAACAAUUAGAAAAAAGAAACACUGCAGUUUAAUAGAACCAGUGACACAAACAAAAUGUGGACUCGAGAACAGCAAGUGGCAACUAAGGUAAUGAUAGAACUGCUUCACAAAUAAUUCGCUGUUUAGAGCAUCUUACAGAGUGAGAUUGUAUCCUUUUGUUAUGCAAUAUAAAAUCAGAUAAGCAUUUGCUGUAACAAAAGUUAUUUACAGUCACAUAAUUUUGAACAACAAGCACAUGACCUUUGAAAUUAGAUUGGUUAAAGUUUUCCAAAAAGUUAAAAGUUAAAGUUUGACUGGCUUGAGUCAGUGGGAGAUUCCCUUCAACUUCAGUGGGGCUGUUGAAAAUCCUACCCUUCACUGAUUGUUUGUAGAUAGGGCUGAUGCUUCCUACCUCUUCUUAAAUAUGCUGUUUCAAUUCUAUUUGACCUUUCUUACCUGUAUGAUACCAUUUGACUGAGUAGUUUACUAUCUUAUUGAAUACUAACUUCAUCAUUUGCUUCAGUAAUUGCCUUUUUUAUAGGUUAGAUAUGGGCAAAGACCAGACAAAGCAGAAACAGAUCCCAUCUACUUCAAAUACUGUCUGGCUAGCCAUAGUCAUAAGCUAUGUUCAGUUAGUAUUCAGAAUACUGCUGACUCCUUUCCUAUACCUUCAUAAAAAAGUAUGUCAUAAGGAUAUUAUAGUGAUCGUAUUUAAAAUUAUUUUUCUGUAUUGAAAUAGAGUUGACAAGUAAAGGAGUUUAUACUGAAGAAUUUAAGGUUUGGGUUUUAUAAAUGUAACGGCACCGUAUUUUUUAAUGUUAAGCUAUAUUUGUUAUAUAAGCUAUAUAAGUUGAUAUAUUUUGGAGCAAGUGAAAAUGUUUGAAUUCCUUUCAGAAUGUAAAAUUGUCGCCAGAGUUUUAAAAGCAGCUCUUUGCAGGCCCAACACCUGGAAAAUAAAACUUUGGGAAAAGUAAAGGAAAAGGAACAUCAGUCUUUCCUCAAAGACUUCUAAGCAAAAGUAAAGAAAAGGAAAAACAUUUAGACUUUCACUUUUUUAAUGCAGUCUGAAAGCACAACAGCGUUCUAGUUUGUCGACUUACAUUUGUCUGUUGCCUUUUCCUGCUACCAUCAGCACAGUUAGAUGGUACGUGAAGUCCCUUGGGCGUGUUAUGGUGAAUAGAACCCUCAAAAACCUUUUAUUUUCUCUUCUCUUUACAAGACAGCGCAUUCUCUAUUCUCAAGAUCAUCUUCGUGAAAGUAUCCAUGGGACGACUGCUGAAGAAACAAGAGGAACUAACAGAGAAAAGGUAAUUAUAAGAAAAAGUGAAUUGCUAGACAUAUGUGGAUGCAGAUUUAUUACACUGGAUGUGCAUUUUUCACUCUCUACGUGAGAUAGUUUCCUCAACUUAGCUACAAAGAAAACAUGGAAGGGAUUGAUUUUGUCUGUUAGAAGAUUUCUGCUUACACUGGACUCUGAGAUUAGUCUGUUGCUUUCCCUGGGUGGCUUCUUACUAUUGCCCUUCUACAUUGAGAGCUCCUCUGUCAUAUCUUGUGUGAUGUCCAGACACCUUCUCCAUAGAUCAAAGGUUGGCAGCCUGUUUUUUAAGCCUUUUUUUUUCCAAUUACUUGCAUGUACAACAGGUGCUGAGGCUCAUUUGUUUUGUUUGUUUCUACCAUUUUGACCCUUCAGUGUAAAUAUGGCUAAGGUUUUAAACCAACUAGAGCAGCACUGAGUGCAGCAUAAGUUAAUCUCCUUGAUUUUUUUCGACAUUCUGAAUGGAUUUUGUAGCUUGAACUGUGCUCUGUGCUUCUGAAGACAGACUGCUACCAUUGCUGGAUGUGACUGCUUUACACAGUGUUUGCCUACAGCCCCAUUACGCAGCACUCACAAACUGUUGUAGAGACACAGGCUAAGAAAUGGCAUACCAUGAGUACAAAUACCCACAGUUAGGGUUAACAGCCUUUUUGAAGAUGCAUUGACCAGUUCGGGGGAGCUCUUUUCAGAGAUCUGCCUAAAACAAGUUUUGUGAUAGAAUUUAAAAGAAAAAAAAAAAAUCCAGCACCUCAAGUCUAUAGCACAAUACCCUCUUUCCUGUCUGCUUAUCUUCCUUUCCAUUGGCAUGAAGUUAAAGUAGAAACCCAGGCUCAGUGUCAUACAGCUUAAUAAAUUUAAUAGAAGAUACUGUUCAAGAAAAAUCUUAACUUACUGCGUCUUUUAGAUGAUUGACAAUUUAGGAAGUCACAAUUUCAGGCUUUUAAGUCUUUCUCCAUUGAACAUAAUUAAACAUUAACCAAUUUUGCUAGUGUACCAUAAUUUUUAUAGGCUGCUUUAAAGCCCUGGUUUCUCUGCCAGGACAUACGCUAGACAAGACUGCACUUUGCUUUGUUUGAAGAACCCAGGUACUGCAAGCCAAGGCUCCUGUGAUGAGUUUGUGCUCAUAAACACCGACCUGCUCACAAAGAGAAGGAAUAUUUGCCUGUUGCUUUCUGUAUUAAAAUACUAACUUGGACUACAGGAGCCUUCUUCUGCUCUGCCCCUCUCAAAGCUGGAUUUUUCUGUCCUGAGAGUCCCCAUUGAGUCAGAGCAGAGACCUGGCCUGCCACACCCAACACCGUAUCCAUCCCAUGUAUGCUGUUUCCAUCCUUUGUAGUACUUUUUAGAAACAGCAAAGACAGGAGAGAAAAAAAAGAAAAACAGAGUCUCGGUGGGAAUAGUCCAGCUGCUUCAGUUUUGACCGACAACUUAAACUAAGUGUAGAUGUCAGUAUGAGGGGUAAGCUAGUGAGAAAUCAGCCCAUAUGUGCUCUUAGUCACCUGAAAGCAGUAGGGGUAGGUCUUGAAAAGUUGACUUUAAAAGAUUAUAACCAUAAGAAUGUGAUGGGUCCAAUACAUUUGUAUUUAGUGUGACCACAUAACUGUAAAAUAAAGGAAAUUCCUAAAGGAAAUGUUUUUGUCACAUAAACACUGAGCCACAGCAAACACAUCUGGCAAAGCUGAAGAUCCAGCUCCCUAGACUGAGCAUCAGAAUACCAUAAAUAAUGUCAAGAGGCAGAAAUGGGGCUGUCAGAUACUGCUACUGUCAUUAUCCUAUUACACUGAAUAACCAUGAGCUUUACUUGUUUAUGGAAACUGUCAAUUGAUAUUUUAAUCUGUAAGUGAAGAAAACAUUACUAUUUUACUAUAUAAUCAUUGAAGCUAAUCUGUUUUCAGCAAGGUCAUUAUUUACACUACUUCCUUUGUAAUCCCUCACAUACACACACAGAAAAAGGCUCUGAAGCUUAAUCUUUCCAGUGCUGAAAAUGAGACUUUUAUGCAAACUGAUAAAAGUUCUUUGUUUGAUUUAUUUGUAAACCAAAAUAGUCUGGUAGUUUGCCUUGAAGUGAAAAGAAAAAAAAACAUGCUCUGUCAAAUCCCGUGCAUUCCUUUUUAUGUAUUUUGUCAUUUCCCCUCUAUUAACUCUGUCCUAAGGUAGAAAGAAGAGUCCACUCUAGCUUGUAUUUGCAUACUGUACUUUAGCUUUGACUUUCUAGGUUGAGCCUGUUAAAUUUAUUGACUGUAAGCCCCUUGAGCUAUUGAGGAGUGUGCAGCUUACAUUGUAUAUCUUUUGAAAGACGAUUCUGGUAGCCCGUUAUCUCUCCAGAUACAAUUUGUCUUACAUAUUCAUGGGUUUUUAGUGCCAGGACCAGUUCCUUCGUUGUAGCUAUUGUUUGGAAUUCUUGCACAGAUAUUAAGGCUUAGUAAUUUUUCAGUGCUGCUCAAGGGAUCCGAGUGUCAAAUGGAAUAACGAGUGGGAGUUUGGGCAGUGAAAACCCCUAAGCAGCUGGCUUUGGAGAUCUUGGUAAAACAAUAAAGGACAAUAAUCUGAGAUGGCAUGAAAGAAACUUUGAGGUGUCUAGGAUAUUUUGUAUGUACAAAUAGAGCUGGCCAGCAUGUAAUACUUUCCAUUCAUUAGCAAUUACAUUUCAUUUUAAUUUCAAGAUUUUAUGCCUGAACGUCAGAGAAAAUUUCAUUUGAGAAACAUCAGCGCAGGGACCUGGGAAAACAAAAUAUGUUCCCCUUCCUGCUACAGCUGUUUUUCUUAGCAGUAGAGCUGACCAGAAUAUUGAUUUCAUUAGGAAAGGGCUUAAGGUGGAAGGAUCUGUAUUCAGGUUAAAGUCAGGGAUUUCAAGUCCUCAGUUUCAUAGGUGACACCAAGAGCCAUGGUUGCCCUCUGGCACUUUGAGGCCUCUGGCUCCCAGGGCUCACCCACAGGUUCUCUCCAGAGUGCAGGAAUAUGAAGUUUCAGAUGCCAUGAUUCUGGCUUCCCAGUCCUUCCCCAUGGCCUGACAGAGCAGGAUGAUUCAGAGCCUGAAUAGCUGCUGUUCUGCAAGGCAGACAUUGAUGUGUCAGUCAAUACAGGCACAUUCUGCCUAGUUUUGGAGCUGACAAGGCUGAAUACCAUGAGCAGCAUAGAUUUAAAAGUACAGAAGGCUGGGGACUGGGAAUCCUACCUAAGGACUUCCAGCUAUACGUAUCCCACCUGGUUAGCUUGAAAGUUAGCCAGAAUAUAUCUACAUCAGGAGCUAUCAUGCCAAAAUCUGUUGUGCAUCUGUGACAGAACUUGGGCUUCUAUUCAGAUCUUCUGCAUCCUGCUCCAGAUGUGAUUGCUCAUCAUUUGAUCUGAGAUAAAAAUAAGCAGCAGUGUACUUUCAUCUCCAGAAAGUGCAUACCAAAAGUCAAAUUCUCUUUCUGGGAAAGCUGUGAGAACAGCCCUGGAGCUGCAAGACACGAACUUCACCUGAAGUGAGGCACAGGUCAGGUCUCUGACUGCUGCAGUCCGUGUUCCAUGCCACACUGCAAGACUGGUGUCAGACUUCCAGGUAUUCUGCCCCGAUGCUCGUCUCUUCAGAAUCAGGUUUUGCAAGGAGCAUCCGUGGCUUCAACAGGUACAGAAAAAAAAAGAUAAUUCAGUCAAUGUUUCAUUAUGGCAAACACUGCUAAUUUUAUUUUGACUUUCUGUGGAAAAACACAGGGAUGUGAUGGUGUUCCCAUUUACAGGUUUAAAUCUUUCAUGGCACCAGCAUCAACAUGAGGGAGAUCUUCCCUUACAAGCAAGCUAGGGUUGCCCAAAACAUUUGUAAUGGCCUAAAAUGUGAACAAAGAAAGUCCCAUAUAAACACUGGGAAGAACUUCUUUACGAUAAGGCUGAUGGAGCACUGGAACAGGCUGCACAGAGGGGUGGUAGAAUCACUUUCUGUGGAGCUAUUCAAGACCUGUCUGGAUGCUUACCUGUGCUACCUAUUGCAGGGCACGUGCUCUAGAAGGGGGUUGGACUCGAUGAUUACCUCUUGAAGUCCCUUCCAAUCCCUGCAAUCCCGUGAUUCUGUGAUUUGCAAGGCAUUGGCUCACGUACAUAUCACCUUACAACUUUCACAAGCAGAGAAGUGGCAGCUCUUAACAAGGUUUAAAUUACAUUUACUCUCCAUAGAGAGGAUGUGUAGCAGAAGAGGGGUUUAUUUCUGACUUACAGUGUACAUGUCAAACAAAUACAAUUAUCUGAGUCAUUAUAGCCACCAUCAUCAUAAUUAGCUUAAGUGAAGCUGUUUUUAGCUUUCAUAUAGCCUCAAUUUGCUGCAAAGCAAAUCACCAAAAUAAAUCAAUAUUUUACAACCUAGCAAACACUGUAGAUUUUUACAAGCAAAAAUUAACAACAACAAUAAAGCGCAAAAAGCCGCAUGCAAAAAUUCAAACUCAACACGCUGUGCCUGGGCAUUUCUGAAUGCAGCACAACUCCUUGCCUGGUUUCCCUGAGCUCACUGUGACAGUUUCCAACACCAGACACUUUCAUUGAAGCAAACAGGAAACAUGUAAAACCAAAUAAAUAAUGACAUGAAAUGAAGCUUUGAUUAGGAGUCUGUGAAUAACGACCCUUUUCAACCAGUCAGUGUCUGAGACGUUUAACAUGCUUUACAUUUGGAAUGUAUCAAGCAAGUUCCACCGAUUAGAUUUUUAUAUUGAGAGGAACGCAUUUUAUUAGAGAGGGAGCUUGUCGGGGCUUGGUGCCAAUCGGCUUCAACUGGUUGUGCUGCAAACACAUCCACCACCCUCAUCCUGAGGACUGCAAGAGGGAACAUGUUUCAUAUUUUCCUCUUUCCUGUUCUGCUCUACAAAUUCAUAAGAGGCAAACGCCAGUUCUCCCUUGGGUCCUAUAGGGAAAAAAAAAAGCCAAAAAAGCUUUUCCAUGUCAUGAGGAAUUCAUCCUUUUACAAAGCUGAAAAUUGCUAUUAUGUUUGGAUGCAUUUGAACAAAAAUUACUGCAAUGAAGAAAGUAUUAAUUAGCUGCAUUUCUCAAGUGAUCACAGUAUUCAGUGCACUCAAAAAGUGGAAAAAAAGACAUUUUUUUGUAAGUUCAAUUAGAUUGUGAUUUUUGUUGCCAGCAGUAUGACAGGGUCUAAAAGCACAGCACUACUACGAAUAAAGAGAAAAUCUGCAGGUGAAUAUUUUAGAAUGAGCUUUGGGGCAGGGGAUAUCAAUUCCAGCUUCAGAAAGGGAUAAAACUUCCUCAUGUUUCACAGCAUGAGCCAAGUUUUUUUUGUUGUUGUUGUUGUUGGUUUUUUUUGAUGAAUACUAGAAUGGCAUAUAAACUGCAGCUACUUAAUUCCACACUUACCAUAUGGAUUUCACAUUUCCUCUACGGCAUCUGGCUCUGGCUAGUGCCAGAGAUGGGUUACUGGGUGAGAUGAACACUACCCCUACCCUGUCCCUUCUGUGUGGGAGGGGUGUUUUUAUGUCUUCUGCAUAUUAUCCAUUGGUGUCCUUUGCAUAAAUAGAGAAGUAUUUGCUGCGAGGAACUUCUUAGAAUAAGUCUAGGAUAUUCUUAUGCUUAUGCUGAGGUCGCGUGGUAUCACUGUAAUCACUGUGCUUUUAGCAUGUCAUCAUUUCACAGACUAGCAGUGUGAGCUAUCGUGGUGUUUGUGCAUAUAGCAAUAAAAAGUGAUAUCUUAGAAUAAGGUACACUAUUUAAUUAAUUAUCAUAUGCACUAAAUGCUAAUAUCCAGAAAAAGGGUAGCUGCGUACAACUUCCUUCAGCCUGAAGUUGGAAUGUAACCACGGGUCAGAAACUGAAAAUUCCACUUGCAUUAAAAUUACACUUUGUCAUUAGAAAUGUUUAUAUUUCAUUAAAAAAAAAAUCUUUCAUGUUUCUCUAUUCUUUAGAGAAGAAAUAACUAUUGUAUUUGGUUUGGAAUGGAUGAACAUAAUCUCAAAUCUUUGUUUGCAUCACUGUGCAGCAUACCAUUUUCUCAAAUGAAAGCUCACAGUAUUUGCAGAGCAGAUGGCAGAAGUGUGUGUGAUUACCUCACUGCUUCUUUGUACUGAGCAGAGAUGGAGGCGAAUUAGGGCCCAUCAGCAGGAGGGGUGUUUGUUUUCUUCCCCAGCAAACCAUCAAAGAAUCCCGGAGCACGUCUUAACUAUUGAGACUGAAAAUUGGGUGAAUUUUGUCUGCCUGAUUCUAGUAAAGACUUGUGUAUUACUUAUAGGGAAAUUCUUUCAGAAAAGUUGCUGGAAACGGUGAGCGCCGUGUAGGAGAUAAUACAGUAACCAAUCUUAGGCCUUUCACGCACAUGGAAGCUUUAACUGAGUAGAACUGUGAGAAAAAAGCUGUGUUGACCAAAGCCCAGGUACAGAUGAAAUUAUACAAGCAAAAAAAAACCCAUUUGCCAAUACUUUCUUUGUUUCCUGUUGAGACAUCUGUAUGAUGCUUUUGCCAAUACAGCCACUUUCCACGCCAAAUUCCCAGCUUGUGCAGCUCUACCUGCAGCCAAACAUUCGGAACGCAAACAAGGCUAAAGAUGGCUAAGUCAGUAUUAUUUCACAUCUUGGAGCAUGAAAAUUUCAGGUUCCUUACCAUUCCUGUUCUGGGGGGGAAGCUGUACUGCAGGAGUUAGCUCCUGAUUCUGCAGUUUUGUGUUGGGCCUGUGACAUUAAGGCACAGCACCGAUUUCUGUCAGGUCACACAGCCUGAAGCUGAGCGAAGCAACAGUGAGCAUGAAGAAAGGAUGCAUCCAAAGCCACCUCUGUACCAGCAGGAGUCAUACGCAGAGCUAGCUGCUGUGCAAAGCUCAGCAAAGCCACAUUUGGUGUAUGUGAUAUCCGGCUCUGUGCUCCUUGUGAUCCAAGGCCUGGACCCCUGCAGAGGGAUUUCUGGCACAGGAGGUGACAUAAAAUGGUGCCGGCAGCCAUUCUUUGUGUCUACCAAAGGUUAUGGGCAGCUCGACAUUUUCCAGCGUUAAAUGCCAGAAAUCUGUUCACUGGAAAAAUUUAGGCAGUGCUAAUUAAAAAGUGAUAGCUUAAUGCUUCCCAAGACCCUGUUUUGAAUUGUGGAGGUAUUAUCUGGCCUGUAGCAACAGCUCUAUCGUCUGUCACAGUUCACUGAGACAGUCAUUUCCAGUGGAAACACAUUGGUUUAGACAAAACUUUGCCAGAAAUGCAAUUUAAAGGGAGAGACGGGGAGGUGAAAAUAAACAACAACUCAGUGGUAAUUGCUGCUCUUUUAGGAAGCUGAGCACCAGUUCAGGUCUGUAGUGGGACUUGCGCAGAGCAGGGAGGUGCGCCUGCAGCCACGCAUUCUGACCUUACUCCUUCCUACUGGGCUCUUUGUGGUUUUAGGAUGGUUCAUACUUCUCCCUCCAGUUGGUUUGGUUUGUGAGAUUUAUUGGCAAGUUCCUGAUAAGCUACAGGAGUAUUUUUAGUCUUUAGUGACUACUGUGUGCUGCCGUUGCACAGAGACAGCGUCAUUCGCAUGCUUUAUUAGACAUUUGCCUAUUCUCCAGCACUUCUGUGCUGUAAUGGAUAAUUUGGCGAGAUGCAUAACAAAAUUUGUUAGCUGCUUUUUUUGUGUGUGUGUGUGUCAAGCUGGAAGCUCCUGUUUGACAUCCAUUUCUGUGGAAUUAGCCAAGUGGGGCAGCAAACAGAUUUGGUAUUUCUGCUCAUUGUAGCAUGGAAGGCAAAGGUUAUCACCACCACAGGACACAAGGAGGGGCGGGCACUCCUCUGGGCUGUCUCUGGAGCUGUGCUGAUGGUGUCUGGUGAAGCAGAUCUGCUGCAAAUUACAGCAUGUGGUUAUGCAUCAAUUUACGCUCCCGCCUGUUGCCAACAACGUGCUGUGCAUGAAUGGAGCUAACUUGGUAAAUAUGCUCUCUAGUAACUGAAAAUAACCAAGUGCUGUUGAAAGGAAUAAUUAAUCAAUGUUUGCAAAGCAUUUAGAAACUGAAAACCACGGUAUUAGUGCUAAGUGUUCAGGGCUUUAGCUUUCCCAUCAGAAGUCUCAGUUUUUCUCUUUGUUAGUCUUUAACCAAACAAAACAUUAAGAGUGCAAAGUCUUUUUGUCUAAUGUCCCCAGUCAGGUGGUUUUGUGCUCGGCAGUUGUUAAAAUGCAGUAAGUAGACCAGAAGAAACUAUAAAUGGGGUGAAUCAGCUCAUUUCUACUGAUGCUGGCAGAAAUGAGUUGAGUUAUGUUAGCUGGAGAUCAACAGCAGGCUCUGUAACACAAUUUCCUCCACUUGCCUAUUGGGCUCAGCCAGCCAGAACCAGUAACUGGCUUAUUCCCUGCAGCUCCCACCUCUCUGAACCCAGGUGCCAGGGAUGGAUACAACACUGUGUUAGGGCACAGGCUUCCCUGCACAGCGAGGCAGACAAAUUGUAUGGCUCAGAGCUGCUAUCUGAGGCAGCCAGCAUGCUCGAUGAACAGCCCAGUGAUACCCGUGAGCAGAAAUCCCAUUUAUCAGGUGUGCUGUGCAGAGAGGUGGCACUGAUGUCUGACCCCUGGCUCGAGAACUCAGGGGAACAAGGAAGCAUCUGUGUCUUUCCUUCCAAAGUGCCUUGGCUCCCUCACAAACAAGUCUUCAUGAAGCUGCAGUCCCCAGCAGAAUGGUGGUUUUACCUGGGAAGCCAAAAGGGCUGUAAGCCACUCAGCAGGAACCAUUUGGGGGUGAGGUGAGGGAUGAGGUUAUGCACUUAGACGGCCCCAGCCAGUCCCCCAUGCCCCUAUCUCUGUGUGCGCAACUGCUCCCUUCUCUGUUCUGAAGGCUAAUCUGUACCUCCAGACGUUUACAGUCAAUAUUCUUAUCUGCUCAGUGUGGUGUUAAUCUGUAUUUCAGAGAGGGAUGAGUGGGAAGACAGUCUUGUUGAAAACAGGGCACUGUGCAGAAGGCAGUUUAAGGCUAAUUGGCUGGAAAAAGCAUUGCACUGGUCCUUCAGAGCAUCUCUUUUUAGGGUUAUUGUAUGACUUUCCAACACAAGCUCCCUUUCUCCAGCCAGGAACUUUGUCAGACUAAGUCUGAUGAUGUUGAGCAUCUGUUCCACGCUCAGGACUAUCCAGCAGCUCACGCUGAGCUUCCAGAUUAAUGUAAAUCCAGAUGAUGUGCCCACUUCAGCUGUGCAGUGCACGAGCACUGUGCCCAAGUAUACAUCACAUGAUGUCCCAGAACUGUUCCUAUGAAUGUGUUGAUGUAAAAAUAACUGAUUAUUCAGAUGCUAGUGGAAUUUUCAAGACAAACAGGGAGGCCCAUGUGCAUUUUAAGUACUUCCCAAGUAAAACAGCAGUUCAGCACAGGUAGGGAAGGAAAAAGGAUUACAUAUUUAGAUUAAGGUAUCUCAAUGUAUUUUUUGGAUCUUGCCUUUUUUGGAUCUGCUCAGUGCUGGUCUGACUCAUCUCUUAGGUGUUUCUUCUCACAGGAGAUCAGUGACUUUGCUGCUGCUGGAUUGACUGGCAGAGUAAGGACGGUUACCUGCCAAGUAAAUCCAGUUAUUCAGCCCUUGCUGGUCCCAAAUAGAGCUCUGUGGCCUAUAAAGGGUCACAUUAAUUAAAAUAAGCCAUCAGAACAGCAGACGUGCUGGGUAUUCACCUCCGCACCAGCCCAGGGCAGAGCAUGUUCAGCUCACUUCAGCAGCAGUGCCACAAAAUCUCUUCAUGACGUUUUUGACAGAGCUAAGUAUUACCAAGAUUUUUUAAUAGUUACCUUUGUAAUUAGCCAUUUUAAAUUCAUUUACUGAAAAUGAGAGGGGCUGGGAUCCUCACGUGUCUUCCUUGCUCCUAUCUUUGCUCGAGUUCACCAUAGAGAGCUUAGUGCAAAAUCCAUAAAGAACCAAAAAAGUGCAUAUUUGAAAGAGCAAUUCAAGCAUAUGUAGAAUGUUCCUGGCUACAUGUAAUUGCAGGCAAGUACUGACAUUUCUGCUGUUCUGGACAAAUGUAUUUAUUUAUUACUUUAUUAACCCACCUCUUCUCUUCAGCAUGUGUUUCUUCUUCUCUCAUUUCCUAAUAUUCCCUGAGUAUUAUUUACCUGAUUUGCAUGACAUACAUGACAAUUGCUUGGGUAGAUCAAACCAAUGACACCACAGUGUUACAAAGAACUAGACGGGGUGUUGUAGUGCUUUUUGGAAGGGCAGAACUUUCCUUUCUUACUGGUAGUACUUCCUCAAGUCAGCAGUGCUAUGAGAACUGUACUCCUCAAUUCCACAGCCAACACUGAUAUUCUGAGACAAACAUUCACCAUUCUUUGCUGCUCUGAGUAUUCUCUCACCCCAGAGAGGAAUGAUUUUAUUAAUUUAAACAGGAAGAAAUAUGUACAAAAAUGACCCAAAGUCUGAUAUAUACCUGUUGGUAUUGACUAAAUCCUUAUCCUGUGAGGGCAAUGUCAAGGCACCUAUUGAUUGUUCCUGAGUAAAUAUCUUGUUGAAGUGGCACUGUCUGUGAAAUUGAAUUACAUAAAUUUUAAUGCCUACAAUAAAAGUUCAUCAGAACUAGCACAGAAACUUCUCUACUUAACUGGAGGUUGACUCAGUUUAUGAAAUGGAGCGAUUUAUCUCCCAAUGGAUCAUGAUACAGGUAUCCAAGUGAACCAUCAGUAAUAAAUAUGGUAUUUCCUCUGUAGUGAUCUGAACAGUGAAUAAAGACUUAAUUUGCAAGUAUUUUCAGAAACUGGGGGAAAACACAGCGAGUUCCCAAGGGUGCAAGUGGACUCGUUUGUAUUUAUAAGUAAGUCAACAUCAAGCUGAUGUGAUUAAACAGUUACUCUGUCAGUGACUUAGCCCUGUUCUUUUCUCCAUCUGGUAGGCAGGCAGGCAGAUUAAAUUUAUGCUGUGUGUUUAUUUUCUUGAAAUAAAAUGAGUUUUGUUUAUAUUUCGAGGCAGUAUGAUGUGGUAACAAAUGUACCAAAUAUAUUAACUUCAAAAAAAAAAGGAAAAAGAAAAGAGGAUUUAGACAAAAAAGAAGACGUGCCUCCCAAGGCACCAUACUUUAUUUAAAGGAAAUGGAAACACACCAUUUUUUUUUUAAAUGCUCAUUUACAGACUUUAAAGAAAAUUAAAUUUAUAGUUUAGCCUCUGAGUUCUGGAACUACCAGUUGUUUCCUGAAAGUGACUUUGUAAUGAGUUUUGGGAAAUCAUUUUAGUAUUGACUUGGGCUGUAAUGGUUGGCUGUUGCUUUUUUGAAUAAGAUUAAUUAAAUUACUCUGAACGAGCUCCAAGUCCAUGCCCUUCUCUGAGGCCAAUUGUGAAUAUGACCAUAAUAAACUCUUAAAAAGUAUUUCAGAAAGUAAAUAAUCUCCAAACCUGGAAGUAUGUCAUUGUGCUCUGGUAAGAAUAACAAACAGCAUUUGCUUCCUUGUUUCAACAUACAUCACUUUGCUUUCGUACCUUGCACUUUCCUCAGUUGUAAGAAGUGAGGGUUAUUUUUGUUUGGUUAAUUUUCUGUACAACAGCAGGAGAUAAUUUUGACUGCAUCUUAAAGAAAGAACCAGAUAAGAAGUAAGUGCAUAGGCACAAAUAAGAGCUGGCAGUUGUACUUCUGAUUUCAACUCUGAAAUGUAGGACUCCUCUUAGUUAUUCAUACUUCGGUAAGCUCAAAUAAAAUACGGACCACAUUAUAUCAGUCUCAAUAAAAACAUACGGAAGUGAAUGCUCUUAAUUUAUAGAAGCUUUGAAAAUCAAUGCCAAAUAUGCAAAGAUUCCAUAAACAGAGAGGUGAAAGGACUUAUCCAAAGCUCCUUUAUGUGCCUGGGCUGAUGACAGUUGACACCAGGUCUUCAGAGCGCCAUGCCAGCGUCCGGUCCAGCGAACACUGCUGCUGCUUGGUAAGCUGGACUGAGAUAUCUCCCCAGAUGCUGCUCUGAUUUUCCACAGAAAUGGUAAGUACUUGGAAAAAUAAGAUAAAAAAAAAGUAAAACAUACCCCAAGGGAAGCCACCAAAAAAUGAUGGGUGUAUGUCUCCCAUAGAACCAUGGGCAAGGUAGACAACAAGAACUGGUGAAAGAAUAGAAGCAAAAGGAAAGAAAACAGUAGAAGUUUGUGGAGUAAUUUAGUAUGAGCAGCUGCACAAAGUAUCUUAACAGCGACAGACCAUCUGCAGUCCCAGUACAGAGAAAGAUCAACAGCUUGUGUGGUAUGAGCUUCCAAAGGAGAGUCUGCUGCACUUCUCAAAUCUCCUGUGAGUUCUCUGAGAUGGAGUAGGUGAGCUGGGAGCACAGCACUCCUGAGAAAAUUUGGUUCUGUAAGGAUGGAGGUUGCUAGGGAGCAAAGCCCUCUUAUGCCAUAAGGAAGGAUUUCUGUUUCCUUGGCAUUACUUUCCUUGCUAGGAAGUCCUGCUCUCAUUCUUUAGGCCAAAAGAUCUGGGCAAGGCUGGUUUGAUGGGCAGAUGAGGGUGGCUGGCAAAGGCUGUGAAUUUUUCUUCUUCCUUGUUCUUAAGUGUCCUUAACCCGUGCUGACAAGAGUAAAAUAGAGACUUGGAGGUCUUAAAUAAACAGGAAUCUUGCAGGGUACAGGUUAAACUAACACUGACAGAGCCAGUAGCUGCAACAAUUUGUAAUUAUAUCCAUGAUCCCAGUGCUCUCUUUCUCAAGGCAAAAAGAUUUGGGUACCAACUUAUGGAGUGAAAUGUCAGUGUUCCCUGCAUUCCCUGCUCCACUGGUGUUCCUCUUUAGGUCUUUAGAAAGAGAACUACUUUGCUCCUAAAACUGAUUAAAGCAUGAAGGAUGAUCUGGUUGAGUGAAUGUGGUAAGAAAUGGCAACCUGUGUCAAAGUUUUUUUGCUCUUAUUUAGUUUAUAUAUUUGUGAUGUUUUUCUACUUUUGGUAGAGAUAAAAGAUUUAUAUUUCAAUGCCUCAAAUUUGAGCUCUAAUACUAUUUUUUACCUUCUACUCUUCUUUUUUCUCUUUAAUUUCUGGUAUUGUUGAGCUUUGGAAAAGAAGAAAUGUUCUCCUGGUAUAUGUACUGGUUUACUUUGUAUUAAUUUGAUUACAUUACUGAUAAACUGAAUUUACUGCUAGUCCACAAACAUGGUGGAUAUGAAUGCUUGCUUCUCACUGGUUUUCUUGAUGGAAUUUUAACCAUGUUUUGCUACAAAUGGAAUCUCAGUUAAAGGAGUAAUUAGUACUUCUGUCUGUUGAAAAUAAUAUUUUAAAUAGCUGUAGUUAAUCCUAAGAAUUGGAGAAUACUCCUUCAUGUAUUAACGUGUUAUUUUAUAUGUUUAUAUAUAUAUAUAUGUUAUAUAUACCUAUUUUAUAUGUUAUACAUAUUAUAUAUGUUAUAAUAGCUAAAAUCACAUUAUUCUCCAAUAAUCCCUGCUUGGUGGGAUGGCAUUCAAGCUCUGAGUGGUGCUGACACCUCUUACACCUCUAAGAAUGGAAAACAAAGCAGUCACUUGAGCUCUUUAUUUAUCAGCCAGUAUCUCACUGCAUGUAAUUUGUCUGGUUUUUUAGCAAAGGAAGUAGGACUGCACUCUACCUGAAAAGCUGAUGUCCUAAAUGACUGAUGUAGAAGCAGGUAAGCAUAAAAGAAUACUGGAUACAGGACCCCAAACCUCCAGUAGACCAAGAGAAAGAAGUUUAAACCCUUGCAAAUACUGGGCCAAAUACAGCCAUAUCACAGGCUAAGUCAAGUCUACACAUGCCAUUGGACACAGCUAAGAAGAAAAUGAGCUUCAGCCACUGUGCCUUUCCUCCGUUCUCUGAAAGGGCAGAGGUUCUGGCAGACAGAACUUUUAGCAGAUUCAAGAGGGCGAAUUUGACAACAAUUCACAGUGAGUAGAUGCACAUUAAAGCAAAGGAAAUUUGUUUGCUUCAAGUAAAGAGUGGACAGUUUCACUGCUAGUGCUGAGGACAAGUUGUAUUCAGAAAACAGCCUCGUUUCCUUUGCCUUGUGUCUUGUGCAGAGGCUUCUUGCUGUACAUGGACUGUGAAGUUUAUGGCUAUGGGGAUUUUAGAACUAGAAGCAUCUCUGACAACCCAGUUGCAUUGUUUUUUUCUCUAUUUUAACAGCAGAUCUUUUUCAGUAGGCGGUGUGAAAAGAAUUGUUUUCAAUUAUUCUUGGCUACAUUUUUUCCCACAGAUUCUGACUUAAUUAGACUCAUUAACAAGACCAAGCAACAUAUUGUCUGUGGGAAAAGAUUUCAGAUGAGAGAAGACUGUUAUACCAUUUUAUUCAAAUCCUUCUGCCAGGAAAAAGCAACUUGACCAAAACAGGGAGGCUUCCAAGAAGUGGCUGCAUUGCUCCUGAAGCUGUUUUUGGAGAGAACAGGGUUUAUUUUUGCCAAAAAAAUGUAACUGUUUUUGUUGAAAAUAUCUGCUUUGCUUUCUAAAAUGUACUUUGUCCACAAAUAUUGCUAUCGGUAGGUCAACUCACAGUGAUCCCACUAGGAAAGACAGAUGCUUCAAGAUUAAUUCUUCAGAUGUAUUUUUUUGCUUAGUGGGGACCCAUAUGGAUGUAGAGACAGUGCACUGGGCGGUAUCCUUUCCUCAGCGCCUGUGCCUGCUAUGGGAGGCCACCCAGCUCUGUCACAGUGGGGAGAAGACAGAAAAGCAAAAAGAACAGAGGAGAGGAAAAAGGAUAGAUAUAGAAAAUUAAUGCUCGGGAGAGGGAUUGCUAGUUCUUUAGGGGAUUUCCAGCACACAGUCUAUGGAAAAUUUUUAUCCACAUCCAAACUGGUCAGAAAUUUCUUUCAGGAACUGCCAUCACUAACCCUGAGGCAGCUGGCAGCUGCAGCACUCUUCAGGCUGCACCAGAGAUAAGGAACCCAAACUACACAUGGACCCUUAAGUGGAGGAAGGAGGGACUUGCAGAGGGCUCCCAGGUAAUACAGUGAAUGCCACCAUUUUAGUGUGCCUGACAGUGCCCUGGUAAUGAACUGAUGUAACACAGACAGAGCAUAAAAUGCCAACAUGUACCUCUCUUGUGAUACAAGAGAGAGAUAAAUGAUAGCAGUUUAAUUUCUGGCUAAGCUAUACUCUUUUCCUUAGCUGAAAAAACAAGCAAGUGCACUUCAGAUGGCACCUGUAUCCUAUACUUCUGUUGUCUUCUGCCAUUUCAUCAUUCAUUCUUUGUCUUUUCCUGAUAAAAUCCUACAAUUUUAUUUGCUUAAACAAAGAUCUGUGAUCACAGAAUCACUCCCUGGCCUCCUCUUUUCUCUUAACAAUUUUCCUUUUUUUGGACAAGGGCUUCCCAUUCUUUCUGGUCCAUAAACAACAGAGCACUUCUCAACUGUUGAGUUGCUAAGAAUACUCCUUUUGCAUUUAGCAUCAUGAUGACCUUGGAAUGACUAAUUUACGAGGACCACGAACUUGUUCAUCUCAGACAGUUCUGUAGGUAUCCAAGAGAGGAUUUUUAAAGAAACACUACCAAAAUUAAAGGAUGUUUCCAGAUAAAUGGCCAUUAGGUACUCAGCCCCAUAGUUCUUCAGUGCAAGGAAUACUGUGACUGUGAGUGAAUAUGCCUUAAAAUAUGUCAGCAGAGUAACUCUGUUACUGUUGUUAACAGCAUUAUAUGGGAUUCAGCACCUAAAUAUUGUGUCUCAGAUGUGUGGGAAAGGAUGGCUGGAGAGAAUUGGGUGGAGCUCAGCAUUCUCAUAAUUCUCAUGUCUUGUCCUGAGCAGUAAUGAGAGUGGCUCUGUAGGCUGAAUCUUGAAAAAGAAAGAAAGAAUAGGCUUUGAUUGCUAUGGCAAGUGUAAAACCUUGUGAAUAAUGUAGAUAAUUUGUGGACAUUUGAAGUGAAGAAUAACGUAUGUUCCACUGGUUAGCUUUCUUAUUGCUCCAUACAAGUGCCAUGGCAUUUUUUCAGCAGCAAAUAUUUGUAGAGAUCUAUGUCCCAAAAAAGAACUGGAUUACAGUUUUUAUCUUGUUGUUGCUGUGCUUUAAGAGCCUUUCUAAGUACCUUCUAAGCAAAAUAGAUUAUAAUCUUCAUUCUUCUAGGGCAGAGCCUAAGCAGAGAUCUGUGCUCAGUUGCAUCUUUAGAUGCAUAAUGCAGUACAGCUUAAAUACAUCCAUGUACUCUAAAAGUGUUACUGAUCCUAAGAAACAUUUGUUGGCUUUACUUCGGCAUGAUUAUAUUCAUCAUUUUCACUGUAGGCAAUAGGUUGCAGGGUAUGCUUUAAUCUUGCAUGUGGUCACAGAAUAAUUUGAAAGGGUGUCCAGAAUAGAGUUAAUCUUACCAUUUUGUACUGAGAAAGGACUCACUGUACUCUGGUUAACCUUGACUAAUGUCUGUUUAACCUUGUGUUUACCUCAAAUUUAAGAAACUAUGUUUGGUAUGUAUUUUCUUAGUGAGCAGUGAGGAUGCCACAUCUUGAGGUGCUGAUACCUCUGCUGCUUCCUCUCAUCUGCUGGAUGGAGGGACUUGCUUCAUCUCCCCUUGUCUCACCUUGGAAGUGCUGGAGGUCCUGUGUGCAGACAGCAGAAUACAGAGGACAGUAGCAAACUUCAUGUACCAAUGGGCAGUGACUGUUGGUGCCCAUCCAGUUCUUUGGAUGUAUUAUACAUGGAACUGCUGUUAACAUAUAAGCAGCCACUGCUAAAUUAUAACCUUAAAGACGAUGGGAUUUCACCAGUGUCAGCAUCUGUUGUUCAUAAAGGAAUUGGGAAAUGGCCCAGCGUCACAUCCAGCUCUGAUCAUGAACAAAUACACUUUGACUUGGACAUGACCUGAUAUUCAAACUAGCAGUAGAUGGAAAAGAAGACAAACAGUUUUUUCAUGAGUUUCAAACACACCUUAAGCAGCUCCGGGACCUUCCAUCAAGAUAACUUGAUAAACCUUGUACGUUUACCUACCUUGACAGUUGUUCAGAUGUCAUGCUAUUUUGGUUUUAGAUUAUUUAAACUAAUGCCUGCUGUCCCACAAGAUACAGGUGAUUGCAAAGGCAGAAAGGUCACCUAAUGAAGCCUGAACUGACCUAGGAAUAUGGGCUUGGCUCCAUUCCCUGCAGUAAAACUUCAGUGCAGAAGAUCAAAUGUGAGAUUCACCUACCUCUGAGCACAGACGUGUUCCAGGACAAAGUUUGGCAUGCAGGCCCUUCUACUCAGGCAGAACAGUACACGACAAAUGUAUCACUGCACAGUGACAGCAGCAUGCCACAAGGUCAGAGCCACAAGCAGCAUGCCACAAGGUCAGAGCCUGGGUCAUAAUUCACCCUAUUAUAUCUGUUUAAUCCAUUCCUUAUUCAUUUUACUACAUGUAUUUCCUACUGAUUAUAUACCUUGUCAUGCAUCUCCAACUGACUUUUAAUCUCCAUGAUUUAAUCUUCAUUAUGGAGUCACCGGGUAUGACCAAGUUUUACUUAUUAGCAAAAACAUUAUGUAUUUUUUGAUGUUCUAAUUGGAAUAUUUCCAAUCUGAAUAUCCUCACUGUGCUCUCUCUCAGGUGUCUGUGUCACCUCCAGUACUCUCAUGGACUGCACACAUUCUGCUCAUUAAUCUACAUACCAUCACUUCUGGUGCAAAGCAAUCAUACUUAGGCUUUCUGAAAGCAGUAUAACAAUAUUUCAGCCUAUAAGCCAAUCCAGGUACUCAGACAGAAAAUACAUCUAGUCAGUUGUGUUUACAUAAAGACAUUUAUAGGGUAUGUUAUCACAAUAGUCUAUUACUUAGUAGAGCUGGUUGCAAAGUAAAAGAAAUACUACUUAUUACUGUAGUUUAGACUCUAGAAGCCUUCUUUUAAUGGUUACAUAAUACCAAAAGCUCGCCCUUGGAUCUCCUGCUUGCUAGAAAACCUGAUUUCUUGUAUUUUUUUAAUCAGAGAACAAGGAGUUGUCUCAAACGAAAAAGAAACCAAAACAAAAAAAUAUUUUCAUUUAAAAAUUACUUUUUUUCCAUUUGUUCAAGUAAAUAUUAACUGCAGCAGAUAUCCACAGCCCUCUUGAAAAGGUAAAACUUCCUAAGGCUUCUAGAAAUGCACAGCUAGACAGAGAAAGUGAGCUAACAGCCUCAUUGUUAUUAAUAAAAUAAGCCUGGUGAUACAUAGCAGUAUCAUUUGGUCACCAUGGCCCCCUCUAGCCCUACCCAAAGCUGAAACAGAAAGAAUAUCCCACCUGUGUUACAUUAACCUAGUUUCCAAUUAAAAGAUUGAAAUAUUGUAGGUUUUUCAUGUCUGUGAUUUUAUCUGUAGCAAAUAAAUGAUCCAAGUGCAAGGACAAAGAGAUUUAAAGGAAGGUUAUUUACUCAAAGAGCUCUCCAAUUUCCUGAUGGUAGAAUUCACUGGGAAAAAAAAACAACACAACUUACACCUGAGGAACUGUAGCUGAAAUUGCAGAUAGCCACUAGAGAGAGAGAGAAAAAAAAGGCUUCUUUAAAAACCAGUAACACCGCUAUUAUUGCAAUUCUGACUGUCAAGAAGUAAUUGCAAAUUGUUCUUGUGCCUGGACCUCCACUUGCAGAUCACAGACUGACUAUAAUAAGAAAUUAUCCCUUAAAAAGAAGGAGCCCCAGAGGAGUAGCAAAGACCAGCAUAAAAUAGGCCACAAAAAUCCUAACCAUUGAAUUUGAAGCACUAACAUACAAAAAAGAAAUGCAAAAUCACUUAGAUAUAACUUGGCCAAAACCUGCAGCAGGGAGAGCAGCCAGAAGACAUUUGAAGGAUGCGUUUGCAUGGGAAAUUCUUACGGCUGAAGUACACAGAAAAGAACUAUUAAGGGGUGGGUAAGUAGGACUGAUGAAAUCAAAGGAAAAUGAAAGAAAAUGAUUUGACAGCAAUUGCGUGCUGUAUGGUUGCUGUGCUGUAUUUUCCCACGGGAAACAGUCAAAUGUGUUUCACUGGAAACAUUAAAAAACAACGCAGCCUGGACAGAAGCACAGAGAGAGUGCAGUAGUCAGAGAUGGGACUGGAGAGCAUUUCCACUCCUGAAUUACCUAUUUCCUGGCUGCCGUUUUAUUGUGAUUCAUUGUUUUUCCUUCUGGAACCAAUAACCUCCCACACAACAACCCCAAUCAAUAGUGAACAUUUGCCAUGCACAAACACGUGUUUAGAGGAUUGACCCCAACUUACCUACUGGUUGGUGUCAUUCAACACUGACGUUUAUGUGCAGAGUCUUGCCUCUGCAAAGAACCAGCAUCUCACUUUAUACAAAUGCAUACAGCCUAGGAAAUAAGUAGGAUGAGUUGGAAACCAGGUCCACUUGGAAAGUUAUGACCUUGUUGCUAUUGUGGGAGUCUGGGAUGACUCUCAUAACUGGAAUACCACCACUGAGGGGCCUCGGCUCUUUAGAAGGGAUAGGCAAGGUAGGAAGGGUGGGGGAGUUGUCCUCUAUGUCAAAGAGUGGAUAGACUGUGAGGAGCUCCCUCUGAGAAACAGUCAGGAACAGGUUGAGAGCCUGUGGGUUAAAACUAGGGAUAGGACUCAUAAAGGCCAGCUGGUGAUAGGGAUAUAUAUACUACAGGCCACCUGAUCAAGGGGAGACUGUUGACAAGGCCUUCUUGCUUCAGAUGCAGGAGACAUUGUGCUCACAGACUCUCGUCCUGGUGAGGGACUUCAACCAUCCAGAUAUCUGAUGGAGAGACCACACAGCGAGUUCCAAGAGGUCCAGGAGGCUCCUGGAAUCCAUUGAUGAUAACUUUCUGGUUCAGGUAUUGGACAGACCAACCAGCAGUGAAGUGUUGCUGGACCUGCUGCUCACCAAUGCAGAGAUGAUCAUUACAGGUGUUAAGGUGGGAGGCAGCCUGGGCUGCAGUGACCAUGCUGUGGCCGAGUUCAUGAUCUCGAGGAAUGCGGGCCUGGCAAACAGUGGGGUCAGGACCCUGAACUUCAGAAGAGCGAACUUUAAGCUGCUGAAGGAAUUUUUGGCCAAGAUCCCACUCUACUGGGUCCCUUCCAACUCAGGCCAUUCUGUGACUCUGUGAAAAAAAAUAAUAACUUUUUUUUUCUUUCCUCAAAGCAAGCUUCUACUUAAAAAAACUGCAUGCCCAGUUAUGUAAAAGUGAGAGAAAGUCUCAGUGCCCUACAGAUACCAUGUUGAGAACUGUUGAGUCAUGGCCUGAACCACUGAUUGAGCACCUGGGGAAAGGACCUGGUCAGCCCUGGGAGCACAGGUGAAGGCAAUUCAGCUGUGCGACCAGAAGGGGUGGAGCCUGGCUGCACCUCUCUUAGACCUCAUUUAAGGGCUGACUGCCACUGGGGAAGGAUCUCUGGUUGGAGAUGCCUCCCUUGUGGUGUUUUCCCAGUGAGCCUGGAUCAUCAGAGAUGGGCACCCUGAGAACCAGGAAGUUGCUGUAAGAUGAAAUGCGACAGGGAUUCCCUGGAGGGCCCUACAGGAGGCUGGAAGGAGGGGAUUGGUUUUUUACCCACCACAUCUGAAACUGAGAAUCUCAGGCAGCAAAGGAACGGCGUUUGCUUAAAAACAGGUAAAUUAUUUAUUCUCAGUUCAUCUAAGAAAGGAACUAGAGAACUAUUUAGAGUACAGAGGAACAUAUAGUACUUGCUUACCUAACGAAAAGGUGUGAAAUGUGAGAGGUGAAAUUGUUAGAGAAGCUUAUAUCAUACUGCAGCCUUUUGCUGUCUUGUUAAUACCUGCUACAGUUAUACAAUGCAUUUAUGAAUAGAUGCUUGAAUUCAGAUAUCCUGCUAGUCAGUUUUUCUUACCAGAAAACACACACCUCAGAAAACAUUCAUCUAUGUGACAGGUAGCAUUUCACCCAUAUAAGAUGUUCAUGUUAUUUAGCUAACAGUACUGUAGGUGGAAUUACAGUACGGAUUCAUUACAGGUACACCCGUACAUGUGAUGCAACAUUUGGUCUAACAGUGGUUGACCCAGGGAAAGAAUAAGACCAAAGCCCUACUUGACAAGUGGUGUCCUGGCACGGAGGUCUCAGGAACCUCUGCUCUGAGCCUCAAGCUGGAUGGCCUCUCGCGAUCCUCUCUCCCUCUGAGCUUGGAGAAAGAGACGUGGAACAGAAUCUCCUGCUGUUUUGGUCUUAUAACGAGAUGGGAAGCAGAUCCUGCUUAACAUCAGAAACAAUAUUUAGUGACUUCUACAAAUGUACCUGAUAUAUACACACUAAUGCUUCAUAGGAGUGAUUUCAGGUGACCACAGCAACCUUUUGUUCAGCUGAUAGUUUAAGUAAUGUUUUUGCUUAAUUGCUGUUUUGCUUAAGACCUUAAUUCUUGCAAGAAACAACUUUGUGCUGCACCAUUCCCACGUGGAUGGAGAAAUGCAUGAAUUUUUCUUAACAUGACUUGACAGUGAAUUUAUUUCAUUGUGUCUGUUUUGACCUGAGCAACUAUUUUUAUUUCCUGUCCAUCUGAGUUACUACUUGAUUUGCUGAAAGCUAAGGAACCAGAGCUGUGAGAUUAAGAUUUCAAAAAUACAUGCUUUUGGAGAAGUUAUUUGGCUGAAACAAAUGCCCUGUGUUGGUCUGUCAGAGCCACGUGUCCUGUCCCUCUGAGCUAAGCUGUAUCGGAAGGCAAGACAGUCACUGCUGAAUGCCGCUUCAUUGAAAGUACAAGUAUUUUAAAAGUAUCCAAGUACUUCAAAUGGAAUUUCUAAUGCUCAAUACUUUGAGUUAAUAAAAAAAACUUCUAAAAACUUUUGUUUUUCUUUGCUUUUCUUUUUCUUUUUUUCCUCUAAGCUUUUUCCUUUCCUUCAGCAGUUUGUUAAAAUGAUAUAGUAGUUCCUCAGAGCUUGACUGACUUCCGUGGGUUCCUGGCAAUGGAAUCACUUGAGCUUCUAGACUUGUAAUUUAGAGCAUGAAAAGAGCCACAUCAGGGCUGGUCAACACCAUUAGCCACUCUCCAGUAGUGACAAAUAGCAUAUCCUGGGGAAAAAUGUAAGAAUGGGACUUGGAGACCGAGGCAGAGAUUAUAUCUUCAAAGUCCAUGAUGGAUUCUUUUUUUCUCCCACCAGAUCAGCUGCUGGCCUUUUUACUUCAGAAGCAUUCCUGGCUCAUAGCCAUAAAUUUGACUAGCUGUCUAACUAAUGAGUUUACCUAGAGUUUAAUUGGAUGUUGGAGAAUUUCUCCUGAUUUGAAUCUGUCAGUCCAUUUUUGUCCCCUGUUUCUUACAGCAUAAGAAAUGAUGAACAAUUUUUCUCUAUUAAAACCUUCAUUUUAUGAUUGCACACACCUCUGCCAUAGCAACUUCAGGCAUCUCUUUUCCAAGACAUUGCUCUAUUUUUUUUUUCUCAGUGAGGAAGUUAUUCAGUGUGUUUGCUCAUCCUUCUCCCUGACUUGUGUUCUUUUGUGUCUCAAGACAAAUACAGAUCUCAAUAAGUACUACCCAGGGAUCCCUUAGCUUCUUUGAACUGCAGUCAUUUUCUUAGUAGUGCUGUGUAAAAAUGACAUAUGUGAAAUACAGGGGAAUUUGCUGGAGACUUCCAAUGCUGAAGAUUAAGUAAAUAUGAUUUUACUCUACAUACAAAAUCUACUGAUGAGGAAGUUAAGUUCUUAUCAGCAGCAGUUACAGUAACUGGCUUGUCUGCUUUCCUCACGCAGGGGAUAAUUCUGACGCAGA